ACGGGUGAGUAAUGCAUCGGAACGUGUCCUGAGGUGGGGGAUAUCCUCUUCCAGUUUUUUUCUGUACCGCAUACCCCGGGCUGAUGCGUCAAGGGAUCCUUCGACCUUGUGCUUUAGGAGCUCCCUAUGUCGGAUUAUCCCGUUGGUGAGGUAAAGGCUCAUGACGGCGACCAUGACGUCUUCCUGUGAGAGGAUGAUCCGCCACACUGGGACUGAGACACGGCCCAGACUCCUACGGGAGGCAGCAGUGGGGAAUUUUGGACAAUGGGCGCAAGCCUGAUCCAGCCAUGCCGCGUGAGUGAAGAAGGCCUUCGGGUUGUAAAGCUCUUUCGGUUGGGAAGAAAAUGCUUCGGAUAAUACCCGGAGUAGAUGACGGUACCGGCAUAAGAAGCACCGGCUAACUACGUGCCAGCAGCCGCGGUAAUACGUAAGGUGCGAGCGUUAAUCGGAAUUACUGGGCGUAAAGCGUGCGCAAGCGGUUGUGUAAGUCAGAUGUGAAAUCCCCGGGCUCAACCUGGGAACUGCAUUUGAGACUGCACUUCUAGCGUGUGGCAGAGGGGGGUGGAAUUCCACGU
rnacentral:rRNA from 1 species